CGAAAAUGUCGAUAAUGGGGGAAAAAUAUAUUACUGCAGUACCAAUAAUAAAGCCAGAUUUGGCGAAUCAUAAUGUAAAAAGGACACGUGUCAAGGUGUUUUUGACCCUCCGUGCUUGAAGACCACGGUGAUAUCACUUGUUUCUUUGGAUACAUAAUCUGUGCCAUUGAACCGAAAUUUGAGGUCUUUGAUUUUGUGGUCAAUUGGAGGAAUCAUGCUGGACAAUAUCGGUGUCUUCAGUAUGG